AUCAAUCUACAGGCUGGUCCUAGAUCCUCAAUCUACAGGUUGGUCCUAGAUCCUCAAACUACAGGCUGGUCCUAGGUCCUCAAUCUACAUGCUGGUCCUAGAUCGUCAAUCUACAGGCUGGUCCUAGAUCCUCAAUCUACAGGCUUGUCCUAGAUCCUCAAUCUACAGGCUUGUCCUAGAUCCUCAAUCUACAGGCUGGUCCUAGAUCGUCAAUCUACAGGCUGGUCCUAGAUCCUCAAUCUACAGGCUGGUCCUAGAUCCUCAAUCUACAGGCUGGUCCUAGAUCCUCAAUCUACAGGCUGGUCCUAGAUCCUCAAUCUACAGGCUGGUCCUAGAUCCUGAAUCUACAGGCUUGUCCUAGAUCCUCAAUCUACAGGCUGGUCCUAGAUCCUCAAUCUACAGGCUUGUCCUAGAUCCUCAAACUACAGGCUGGUCCUAGAUCCUCAAUCUACAGGC
ensembl:lncRNA